GGAAUAUUGGACAAUGGAGGGAACUCUGAUCCAGCCAUGCCGCGUGCAGGAUAAGGUCCUAUGGAUUGUAAACUGCUUUUGUACGGGAGCAAUAAGGUCCACGUGUGGGUCGAUGAGAGUACCGUACGAAUAAGCAUCGGCUAACUCCGUGCCAGCAGCCGCGGUAAUACGGAGGAUGCGAGCGUUAUCCGGAUUUAUUGGGUUUAAAGGGUGCGUAGGCGGCUUGGUAAGUCAGCGGUGAAAUUCGGAUGCUCAACAUCUGGCGUGCCGUUGAAACUGCCGUGCUUGAAUGCGGAUGCCGUGGGAGGAAUGUGUGGUGUAGCGGUGAAAUGCAUAGAUAUCACACAGAACACCGAUUGCGAAGGCAUCUCACGAAUCCGCGAUUGACGCUGAGGCACGAAAGUGCGGGGAUCAAACA
rnacentral:rRNA from 1 species